rnacentral:rRNA from 1 species
GGGGGGGGGGGGGGGGGGGGGUGGGGGCGGGAGGGCGGGCGCGGAGACGAGGGGCUGGCUGCUCUGAGGUUAGGGGCGGACGGGUGAGUAACACGGGGAUGACCUCCCUAUAAGACUGUGAUAACUUCCGGAACCCGGGGCUAAUCCCGGCUAAUCUAUUGACCCGCAUGGUUCCAUUGUGAAAGACGGUGUUGCUGUCACUUAUAGAUUGGUCCGCGCCGCAUUAGCUAGUUGGUAAGUUAACGGGUUACCAAGGCAACGAUGCGUAGCCGACCUGAGAGGGUGAUCGGCCACACUGGAACUGAGACACGGUCCAGACUCCUACGGGAGGCAGCAGUAGGGAAUCUUCCGCAAUGGGCGAAAGCCUGACGGAGCAACGCCGCGUGAGUGAUGAAGGUCUUCGGAUCGUAAAACUCUGUUAUUAGGGAAGAACAAAUGUGUAAGUAACUAUGCACGUCUUGACGGUACCUAAUCAGAAAGCCACGGCUAACUACGUG